AGCAGCCGCGGUAAUUCCAGCUCCAAUAGCGUAUAUUAAAGUUGUUGCAGUUAAAAAGCUCGUAGUUGAAUUUCGGGGUUAGUAGGUCGGUCAUGCCUCAGGUAUGUACUGGUCUCACUGAUUCCUCCUUCCUGAUGAGCCGUAAUGCCAUUAAUUUGGUGUUGCGGGGAAUCUGGACUGUUACUUUGAAAAAAUUAGAGUGUUUAAAGCAGGCUAACGCUUGAAUACAUUAGCAUGGAAUAAUGGAAUAGGACGUUCGAUCCUAUUUUGUUGGUUUCUAGGAUUGACGUAAUGAUUAAUAGGGAUAGUUGGGGGCAUUAGUAUUCAAUUGUCAGAGGUGAAAUUCUUGGAUUUAUUGAAGACUAACUACUGCGAAAGCAUUUGCCAAGGAUGUUUUCAUUAAUCAAGAACGAAAGUUAGGGGGUCGAAGACGAUCAGAUACCGUCGUAGUCUUAACCAUAAACUAUGCCGACUAGGGAUCGGAUGAUGUUAAUUUUUUAAUGACUCAUUCGGCGCCUUA
rnacentral:rRNA from 1 species